rnacentral:rRNA from 1 species
GACGAACGCUGGCGGCGUGCUUAACACAUGCAAGUCGAACGAGUGGAGAACGGGUGAGUAACACGUGGGUGAACUGCCCUGCACUUCGGGAUAAGCCGGGGAAACUGGGUCUAAUACAGGAUAGUGUGGGAUGGGCGCGCGGCCUAGCAGCUUGUUGGGGGGGUAAGGGCUACCAAGGGGCGACGGGUAGCCGGCCUGCGAGGGUGGGCGGCCACAUGGGGACUGAGACACGGCCCAGACUCCUACGGGAGGCAGCAGUGGGGAAUAUUGCGCAAUGGGCGCAAGCCUGAUGCAGCCAUGCCGCGUGUAUGAAGAAGGCCUUAGGGUUUUAAAGUACUUUCAGCGGGGAGGCGUUACCCGCAGAAGAAGCACCGGCUAACUCCGUGCCAGCAGCCGCGGUAAUUC